rnacentral:rRNA from 1 species
UGGGGAAUUUUACGCAAUGGGGGAAACCCUGACGUAGCGACACCGCGUGAGCGAAGAAGCCUUUUGGGGUGUAAAGCUCUGUCAGCUGGAACGAACACAAUGACGGUACCAGCAGAGGAAGCAUCGGCUAACUACGUGCCAGCAGCCGCGGUAAGACGUAGGAUGCGAUCGUUGUCCGGAUUCAUUGGGCGUAAAGUGUUCGUAGGUGGUCUGUUAAGUUUGGUGUUAAAGAGCGGGGCCCAACCCCGAUAGUGCACUGAAUACUGGCAGACUUGAGGGCGGUAGAGGUAAGUGGAAUUCCAAGUGUAGCGGUGAAAUGCAUAGAUAUUUGGAAGAACAACGGUGGCGUAAGCGACUUACUGGGCCGUAACUGACACUGAGGAACGAAAGCCGGGGUAGCGAAUG